ACACCCACGGACCUCCACCUACCCAGCAACCGUUCAACCUCGCACUCCCUUCCUCUCGCACACCCACACGCACUCCUUUCUCUCUCCUCGGCCCACCUGCGUCGAGCCUCCACCACGAACGAAACCACCUUCGCGGCCCCGCCACUUCGACCCUCAGCCAGUGCCGCGUUGCAUUCUCAAUUUCCGGCGAAGCACUGCUGUCGCACGCCCUCUGCCGCAAGAUUAAGGAAAAAGGGAUAUUCAAGCCUCCCCCGACUAUCAAAGUUACUAAGCAGGAUUUGAGGUAAUGACGGGGAUGACGGAAUGGCGUAGCAGUGAGGAAUAAUUAGUACUUAAAUUAUGCAUACUCUUAUAUUAUGUAUUCUAAGCUUAAG